CAGUCGCCGCGGUAAUACAGAGGGUGCGAGCGUUAAUCGGAUUUACUGGGCGUAAAGCGUGCGUAGGCGGCUUUUUAAGUCGGAUGUGAAAUCCCUGAGCUUAACUUAGGAAUUGCAUUCGAUACUGGGAAGCUAGAGUAUGGGAGAGGAUGGUAGAAUUCCAGGUGUAGCGGUGAAAUGCGUAGAGAUCUGGAGGAAUACCGAUGGCGAAGGCAGUUAUCUGGCCUAAUACUGACGCUGAGGUACGAAAGCAUGGGGAGCAAACAGGAUUAGAUACCCCUGUAGUCCCUGUCUCUUAUAC
rnacentral:rRNA from 1 species